UACGUAGGGUGCGAGCGUUGUCCGGAAUUAUUGGGCGUAAAGAGCUUGUAGGUGGCUCGUUGCGUCGGGAGUGAAAACCUGCGGCUUAACCGCAGGCCUGCUUCCGAUACGGGCGAGCUAGAGUUCGGCAGGGGAGACUGGAAUUCCUGGUGUAGCGGUGGAAUGCGCAGAUAUCAGGAGGAACACCGGUGGCGAAGGCGGGUCUCUGGGCCGAUACUGACAUUGAGGCGCGAAAGCGUGGGGAGCAAACAGG
rnacentral:rRNA from 1 species